UGGGGAAUUUUGGACAAUGGGCGAAAGCCUGAUCCAGCAAUGCCGCGUGUGUGAAGAAGGCCUUCGGGUUGUAAAGCACUUUUGUCCGGAAAGAAAUCCUUGGCUCUAAUACAGUCGGGGGAUGACGGUACCGGAAGAAUAAGCACCGGCUAACUACGUGCCAGCAGCCGCGGUAAUACGUAGGGUGCAAGCGUUAAUCGGAAUUACUGGGCGUAAAGCGUGCGCAGGCGGUUUGCUAAGACCGAUGUGAAAUCCCCGGGCUCAACCUGGGAACUGCAUUGGUGACUGGCAGGCUAGAGUAUGGCAGAGGGGGGUAGAAUUCCACGUGUAGCAGUGAAAUGCGUAGAGAUGUGGAGGAAUACCGAUGGCGAAGGCAGCCCCCUGGGCCAAUACUGACGCUCAUGCACGAAAGCGUGGGGAGCAAACAGGAUUAGAUACCCUGGUAGUCCACGCCCUAAACGAUGUCACUAGUUGUUGGGGAUUCAUUUCCUAGUAACGUAGCUAACGCGUGAAGUUGACCGCCUGGGGAGUACGGUCGCAAGAUUAAAACUUAAUGAAUUGACGGGGUCAUAGCUGUUUCCU
rnacentral:rRNA from 1 species